CAGUAGCCGCGGUAAUACGAAGGGUGCAAGCGUUACUCGGAAUUACUGGGCGUAAAGCGUACGUAGGUGGCGGUUUAAGUCCGUUGUGAAAGCCCUGGGCUCAACCUGGGAAUUGCAGUGGAUACUGGGUCACUAGAGUGUGGUAGAGGAUAGUGGAAUUUCCGGUGUAGCAGUGAAAUGCGUAGAGAUCGGAAGGAACAUCUGUGGCGAAGGCGACUAUCUGGGCCAACACUGACACUGAGGCACGAAAGCGUGGGGAGCAAACAGGAUUAGAUACCCCUGUAGUCCCUGUCUCUUAUAC
rnacentral:rRNA from 1 species